rnacentral:rRNA from 1 species
GAAGCACCUGCCUAACCUCCGUCCUAGCAGCGCGUCAUUCCGAGGGUGGCAAGCCCUAAUCGGAAUUACUUGGCGUAAAGCGCACGCAGGCGGUCUGUUAAGUCAAGAAUGUGAAUCCCCCGGGCCUUAACCUGGAACUGCAUUGAAACUGGCAGGCUUGAGUCUCGUAGAGGGGGGUAGAAUUACAGGUGUAGCGGUGAAAUGCGUAGAGAUCUGGAGGAAUACCGGUGGCGAAGGCGGCCCCCUGGACGAAGACUGACGCUCAGGUGCGAAAGCGUGGGGAGCAAACAGGAUUAGAUACCCCUGGUAGUCCACGCCGUAAACGAUGUCGACUUGGAGGUUGUGCCCCUUGAGGCGUGGCUUCCGGAGCUAACGCGUUAAAGUCGACCGCCUGGGGAGUACGGCCGCAAGGUUAAAACUCAAAAUGAAUUGACGGGGGCCCGCACAAGCGGUGGAGCAUGUGGUUUAAUUCGAUGCAACGCGAAGAACCUUACCUGGCCUUGACAUCCAGAGAACUUAGCAGAGAUGCUUUGGUGCCUUCGGGAACUCUGAGACAGGUGCUGCAUGGCUGUCGUCAGCUCGUGUUGUGAAAUGUUGGGUUAAGUCCCGCAACGAGCGCAACCCUUAUCCUUUGUUGCCAGCGAUUCGGUCGGGAACUCAAAGGAGACUGCCGGUGAUAAACCGGAGGAAGGUGGGGAUGACGUCAAGUCAUCAUGGCCCUUACGGCCAGGGCUACACACGUGCUACAAUGGCGCAUACAAAGAGAAGCGACCUCGCGAGAGCAAGCGGACCUCAUAAAAUGCGUCGUAGUCCGGAUUGGAGUCUGCAACUCGACUACAUGAAGUCGGAAUCGCUAGUAAUCGUAGAUCAG